UGAGGAAUUAUGCGCAAUGGGCGAAAGCCUGACGGAGCAACGCCGCGUGAAGGAUGAAGUAUUUCGGUAUGUAAACUUCGAAAGAAUAGGAAGAAUAAAUGACGGUACAUUUAUAAGGUCCGGCUAACUACGUGCCAGCAGCCGCGGUAAUACGUAGGGACCAAGCGUUGUUCGGAUUUACUGGGCGUAAAGGGCGCGUAGGCGGCCAACUAAGUCAGACGUGAAAUCCCUCGGCUUAACCGGGGAACUGCGUCUGAUACUGGAUGGCUUGAGGUUGGGAGAGGGAUGCGGAAUUCCAGGUGUAGCGGUGAAAUGCGUAGAUAUCUGGAGGAACACCGGUGGCGAAGGCGACAUCCUGGACCAAUUCUGACGCUGAGGAGCGAAAGCCAGGGGAGCAAACAGGAUUAGAUACCCCGGUAGUCCCUGAGCGGGCUGGCAAGGCGCAU
rnacentral:rRNA from 1 species